rnacentral:rRNA from 1 species
UACAGAGGGUGCAAGCGUUAAUCGGAAUUACUGGGCGUAAAGGGUGUGUAGGUUGUUAACUUAGUCAGAUGUGAAAGCCCUGGGCUUAACCUGGGAACUGCGUUUGAAACUGGUUGACUAGAGUACUAUAGAGGACAGUGGAAUUUCCGGUGUAGCGGUGAAAUGCGUAGAUAUCGGAAGGAACACCAGUGGCGAAGGCGACUGUCUGGGCUGAUACUGACGCUGAGGUGCGAAAGCGUGGGGAGCAAACAGG